UUUAAAUACAACCAUAAGAUUCCGCACUCAACUUUGAUCGUCCGUAUUAUUUAAAACUUUUUUAUAAUUAGUUUUUUAUUGUUAUGAGAUGAUAAAAUAUAAAUAUUACUUUACUCAUGACUCAUGUUUUUAAUUUUUUUUUAAAUAAGACGGACGAUCAAAGUUGGACGCGGAAAACCAUAGCUGCAUUUAAA
rfam:Oryza nivara chromosome 2, whole genome shotgun sequence.